rnacentral:rRNA from 1 species
AGCAGCCGCGGUAAUUCCAGCUCCAAUAGCGUAUAUUAAAGUUGUUGCAGUUAAAAAGCUCGUAGUUGAAUUUCGGGGUUAGUAGGUUGGUCAUGCCUCUGGUACGUACUGGUAUUAUUGAUUCCUACCUUCUGACGAACCAUGAUGUCAUUAAUUUGGUGUCAUGGGGAAUCAGGACUGUUACUUUGAAAAAAU